rnacentral:lncRNA from 1 species
AGUGGGCGUUACUAACGGACAGCACCGGCCUCUGGGAGUUCAGAUACAGUGAUGCUUCAGAAACUGUGGACCCUCGGACCCAGCCCCUGUUAAUGUUGAAGGACCAGGAAAUAUGAAUCUAGGUAGCAGCUGAGGCUCUAGCUAAGGACCAUGCAAAGCGUGUUGGAGAAUGUGUUUCCAGCUCACCUAAGUAAAAAAAAAAAGACUACCCGACCCGACCGCACAGAUUCGCAGUCGAGUUGAAAUCGAUCUGAAAAAAAGAAUUGGUGCGCGUUAAUUUAAACAAAUCUCCUAAGAUCCAAGGCUACAGGAUCCGAGCUCACCAAAGAUCACAACACGGGGUAUGAGUUCCCGAGAGCCUGCUGUAAAUACGCCAGCUAUUUAAUCUCACUUGGAACCUGCAAGUUAGGUAACAUCCAGAUCUCCUUCCCAAAUGAAGGGCCGUGGCACAGGUGUCCUUGGAUGACCUGAAACUCACAUGGACAGGCCUGGCUUUGGACUCCUGGACAGACAGACAUACUGCCUCAGCUUCCAGAGUGUUGGGAUGAUAGGGUCCCCAUCAUGCUGUACCUGGUGGCUCUCUUUCCUUAUGCUCUCCCGCUUCAGGCCCCAUCGUGGGCGCCUCUGCUCAUGAGCCUGUAGCUCUCCCUAAUAAAGCUCUAUGAAGGGUGA